rnacentral:rRNA from 1 species
CAGUAGCCGCGGGAAUACGUAGGGUGCAAGCGUUAAUCGGAAUUACUGGGCGUAAAGCGCGCGUAGGCGGUUACUCAAGUCAGAGGUGAAAGCCCGGGGCUCAACCCCGGAACUGCCUUUGAAACUAGGUGACUAGAAUCUUGGAGAGGUCAGUGGAAUUCCGAGUGUAGAGAUGAAAUUCGUAGAUAUUCGGAAGAACACCAGUGGCGAAGGCGACUGACUGGACAAGUAUUGACGCUGAGGUGCGAAAGCGUGGGGAGCAAACAGGAUUAGAUACCCCUGUAGUCCCUGUCUCUUAUAC